UGAAAAAUUCCCUUAGAACUUUAUUGGACCUUUAUGUACUUUCCUUUCACUGAAAAGCUUCAAGACAAAAUAAUAUUAAAAGAUAUGUUGAUAAGAUCAUUUACAACAAUAUAUAUAUGUAUAACAUUUAUUGAAUACUACAAAAAUUAUGUAUUGGUUAUAUUACAAUGUGUUUAAAAACAAAUUAAACCUAUGCAUUCUAUACUUAGACUAAGCACACAUACACACACACACACACAAGUGAAACAUCGAUAUGUUGACUUAUAAGUAUUAAGUCAAGGGAGACAAUCACCUAAAAAAAAAAAAGUUAUCUUUGU